UGCAGUCGAGCGAGAAGGGGAGCAAUCCCCUGAGUACAGCGGCGCACGGGUGAGUAACACGUGGGUAAUCUGCCCUGGAGUGGGGAAUAACACCGGGAAACCGGUGCUAAUACCGCAUACGAUCACAGAGUCUGCGGAUUUUGUGAUGAAAGGAGCAAUCCGCUCUAGGAGGAGCCCGCGGCUGAUUAGCUAGUUGGUGAGGUAAUGGCUCACCAAGGCAACGAUCAGUAUCCGGUCUGAGAGGACGGUCGGACACACUGGAACUGAGACACGGUCCAGACUCCUACGGGAGGCAGCAGUGGGGAAUUUUUGGCAAUGGGGGCAACCCUGACCAAGCAACGCCGCGUGGGUGAUGAAGUCUCUUGGGACGUAAAACCCUUUCGACGGGGACGAAAAGCCGCAAGGUUUGACGGUACCCGUAGAAGAAAGCCCCGGCUAACUCCGUGCCAGCAGCCGCGGUAAUACGGGGGGGGCAAGCGUUGUUCGGAAUUACUGGGCGUAAAGGGCGCGUAGGCGGUUCGCUAAGUCGGAUGUGAAAACUCUGGGCUCAACCCAGAGCCUGCAUCCGAAACUGGCGGGCUAGAGUUCUGGAGGGGGUAGCGGAAUUCCUGGUGUAGCGGUGAAAUGCGUAGAUAUCAGGAGGAACACCGGGUGGCGAAGGCGGCUACCUGGACAGAAACUGACGCUGAGGCGCGAAAGCUAGGGGAGCAACCAGGAUUAGAUACCCCUGGUAGUCCUAGCCCUAAAC
rnacentral:rRNA from 1 species